ACUGCCACGCGGUGGCUCUGCCGGACCUCAAACCCGGCGCGCUU
rnacentral:tRNA from 12 species